GACGAACGCUGGCGGCGUGCUUAACACAUGCAAGUCGAACGGAAAGACCCUGAUUUUGUGGGGUGCUCGAUUGGCGAACAGGUGAGUAAAACGUGAGUAACCUGCCCUUGACUUUGGGAUAACAUCAGGAAACUGGGGCUAAUACAGGAUAUGAGCUACUGCAGCAUGUGGGGGGAUGGAAAGUUUCGGCGGUUGGGGAUGGACUCGCGGCUUAUCAGCUUGUUGGUGGGGUAGUGGCUUACCAAGGCUUUGACGGGUAGCCGGCCUGAGAGGGUGGACGGCCUCAAUGGGACUGCGAGACGGCCCAGACUCCUACGGGCGGCAGCAGUGGGGAAUAUUGCACAAUGGGCGGAAGCCUGAUGCAGCAACGCCGCGUGCGUGAUGACGGCCUUCGGGUUGUAAACCGCUUUCGCCUGUGACGAAGCGUGAGUGACGGUAAUGGGUAAAGAAGCACCGGCUAACUACGUG
rnacentral:rRNA from 1 species